GAACGCUGGCGGCGUGCUUAACACAUGCAAGUCGAACGGAAAGGCCCUGCUUUUGUGGGGUGCUCGAGUGGCGAACGGGUGAGUAACACGUGAGUAACCUGCCCUUGACUUUGGGAUAACUUCAGGAAACUGGGGCUAAUACCGGAUAGGAGCUCCUGCUGCAUGGUGGGGGUUGGAAAGUUUCGGCGGUUGGGGAUGGACUCGCGGCUUAUCAGCUUGUUGGUGGGGUAGUGGCUUACCAAGGCUUUGACGGGUAGCCGGCCUGAGAGGGUGACCGGCCACAUUGGGACUGAGAUACGGCCCAGACUCCUACGGGAGGCAGCAGUGGGGAAUAUUGCACAAUGGGCGGAAGCCUGAUGCAGCAACGCCGCGUGCGGGAUGACGGCCUUCGGGUUGUAAACCGCUUUCGCCUGUGACGAAGCGUGAGUGACGGUAAUGGGUAAAGAAGCACCGGCUAACUACGUGCCAGCAGCCGCGGUGAUACGUAGGGUGCGAGCGUUGUCCGGAUUUAUUGGGCGUAAAGGGCUCGUAGGUGGUUGAUCGCGUCGGAAGUGUAAUCUUGGGGCUUAACCCUGAGCGUGCUUUCGAUACGGGUUGACUUGAGGAAGGUAGGGGAGAAUGGAAUUCCUGGUGGAGCGGUGGAAUGCGCAGAUACCAGGAGGAACACCAGUGGCGAAGGCGGUUCUCUGGGCCUUUCCUGACGCUGAGGAGCGAAAAGCGUGGGGAGCGAACAGGCUUAGAUACCCUGGUAGUCCACGCUGUAAACGGUGGGUACUAGGUGUGGGGUCCAUUCCACGGGUUCCGUGCCGUAGCUAACGCUUUAAGUACCCCGCCUGGAGGAGUACGGCCGCAAGGCUAAAACUCAAAGGAAUUGACGGGGCCCCGCACAAGCGGCGGAGCAUGCGGAUUAAUUCGAUGCAACGCGUAGAACCUUACCUGGGUUUGACAUGGAUCGGGAGUGCUCAGAGAUGGGUGUGCCUCUUUUGGGGUCGGUUCACAGGUGGUGCAUGGCUGUCGUCAGCUCGUGUCGUGAGAUGUUGGGUUAAGUCCCGCAACGAGCGCAACCCUUGUUCACUGUUGCCAGCACGUUAUGGUGGGGACUCAGUGGAGACCGCCGGGGUCAACUCGGAGGAAGGUGGGGAUGACGUCAAGUCAUCAUGCCCCUUAUGUCCAGGGCUUCACGCAUGCUACAAUGGCUGGUACAGAGAGUGGCGAGCCUGUGAGGGUGAGCGAAUCUCGGAAAGCCGGUCUCAGUUCGGAUUGGGGUCUGCAACUCGACCUCAUGAAGUCGGAGUCGCUAGUAAUCGCAGAUCAGCAACGCUGCGGUGAAUACGUUCCCGGGGCUUGUACACACCGCCCGUCAAGUCAUGAAAGUUGGUAACACCCGAAGCCGGUGGCCUAACCGUUGUGGGGGAGCCGUCGAAGGUGGGACUGGUGAUUAGG
rnacentral:rRNA from 1 species